CUGAUUUCCCUCUGGGAAGGGGCUGGCCCAGGGUUGCACAGUGAGGGUGGGGGCAGAGGUGGGCCCAUUGUUACCUCCCUUGUUGGGUUGUCUGAGGAGCCCUCUGGCCACUCCCCACAGGAGAUGCACUGGACAGGGAGGAGGUGGAGGAGGAGGAGGCACCUCAGCCCAUGCCAAGCAUCCCAGAGGAACUGGAGAGCCGGGAGGCCAUGGUAGAGCUGGUGUUUCCGCUUGUGAGCGACCAUAACCAGGGACGUGGUGGAUUGCGGGCAGCUGCCCAGAACCCUGCUGAAGAGUCUGCACCAGGGACCCCGGUCCCUCAGGAGCUCAGGGCUGCCAACAAGCAGGGUGGAUAUUAUGGACACUGACAAAACAAUGCAAACUUUGCUCUCCUUGGUCAGACAGUACAACCCAAAGAUGGUCAAAGUCGCAAGGUAUGUAUGACAUUUUGACGUAUAAUAUUUUUCUCAUUUGAAGGAGGAUUAAGAGAUUACUUCUUCGUA
rnacentral:lncRNA from 10 species